GGGGAUGAUCUGGUCUCGACAGGGAUAGUGAAUUAGAGUAAGCGAGCCGUGUUUCUGUUUCCUGGGGUACACGUUAAAGAACUGGGAUAACAAAUUUAAACGCAAAAAACAAUUUUGCCUACGCAGCUUAACUAAAUUAAGUUGCAUUGGUUUACAGGGCCUUCGCGUCUGACGCCGUAAACCGAUAAUCAAUCAGAUGCACGAUCAGUCUGUUGUCCCGACAGCUGGUUAAGAUUUAGGGACAAACCUCUCUUGAUAUCUGCUAUCUGGUAAAGAGAGGCUAAUCAAGAUAGCUUCGCUCGGAGAAAGCUUUAAUGAAUUGUUUUUGGACAGGGGUUCGAUUCCCCUCAUCUCCACCA
rnacentral:tmRNA from 1 species